GAGUUUGAUUCAUGGCUCAGGACGAACGCUGGCGGCGUGCUUAACACAUGCAAGUCGAACGAUGAAGCCUAGCUUGCUAGGUGGAUUAGUGGCGAACGGGUGAGUAAUACGUGAGUGACCUACCUUUGACUCUGGGAUAAGCCUGGGAAACUGGGUCUAAUACCGGAUACGACCAAUCUCCGCAUGGGGUGUUGGUGGAAAGCGUUAUGGAGUGGUUUUAGAUGGGCUCACGGCCUAUCAGCUUGUUGGUGAGGUAAUGGCUUACCAAGGCGACGACGGGUAGCCGGCCUGAGAGGGUGACCGGCCACACUGGGACUGAGACACGGCCCAGACUCCUACGGGAGGCAGCAGUGGGGAAUAUUGCACAAUGGGCGCAAGCCUGAUGCAGCGACGCCGCGUGAGGGAUGAUGGCCUUCGGGUUGUAAACCUCUGUUAGCAUCGAAGAAGCGAAAGUGACGGUAGGUGCAGAGAAAGCGCCGGCUAACUACGUGCCAGCAGCCGCGGUAAUACGUAGGGCGCGAGCGUUGUCCGGAAUUAUUGGGCGUAAAGAGCUUGUAGGCGGUUGGUCGCGUCUGCUGUGAAAGGCUGGGGCUUAACCCUGGUUUUGCAGUGGGUACGGGCUAACUAGAGUGCAGUAGGGGAGACUGGAAUUCCUGGUGUAGCGGUGGAAUGCGCAGAUAUCAGGAGGAACACCGAUGGCGAAGGCAGGUCUCUGGGCUGUAACUGACGCUGAGAAGCGAAAGCAUGGGGAGCGAACAGGAUUAGAUACCCUGGUAGUCCAUGCCGUAAACGUUGGGCACUAGGUGUGGGGGACAUUCCACGUUUUCCGCGCCGUAGCUAACGCAUUAAGUGCCCCGCCUGGGGAGUACGGCCGCAAGGGCUAAAACUCAAAGAAAUUGACGGGGGCCCGCACAAGCGGCGGAGCAUGCGGAUUAAUUCGAUGCAAACGCGAAGAACCUUACCAAGGCUUGACAUAUACUGGACCGCGUCAGAGAUGGCGUUUCCCUUCGGGGCUGGUAUACAGGUGGUGCAUGGUUGUCGUCAGCUCGUGUCGUGAGAUGUUGGGUUAAGUCCCGCAACGAGCGCAACCCUCGUUCUAUGUUGCCAGCACGUGAUGGUGGGGACUCAUAGGAGACUGCCGGGGUCGAACUCGGAGGAAGGUGGGGAUGACGUCGAAUCAUCAUGCCCCUUAUGUACUUGGGCUUCACGCAUGCUACGAUGGCCGGUACAGAGGGUUGCGAUACUGUGAGGUGGAGCUAAUCCCUAAAAAGCCGGUCUCAGUUUCGGAUUGGGGUACUGCGAACACGACCCCGUGAAAGUCGGAGUCGCUAGGAAUCGCGGAUCGGCAACGCUGCGGUGAAAUACGUUCCCGGGCCUUGUA
rnacentral:rRNA from 1 species